GGGUUGUGAGGUUAAGCGACUAAGCGUACACGGUGGAUGCCCUGGCAGUCAGAGGCGAUGAAGGGCGUGCUAAUCUGCGAUAAGCGCCGGUAAGGUGAUAUGAACCGUUAUAACCGGCGAUACCCGAAUGGGGAAACCCAGUGUGAUUCGUCACACUAUCAUUAACUGAAUCCAUAGGUUAAUGAGGCGAACCGGGGGAACUGAAACAUCUAAGUACCCCGAGGAAAAGAAAUCAACCGAGAUUCCCCCAGUAGCGGCGAGCGAACGGGGAGGAGCCCAGAGCCUGAAUCAGCAUGUGUGUUAGUGGAAGCGUCUGGAAAGGCGCGCGAUACAGGGUGACAGCCCCGUACACAAAAGCGCAUGUGCUGUGAGCUCGAUGAGUAGGGCGGGACACGUGGUAUCCUGUCUGAAUAUGGGGGGACCAUCCUCCAAGGCUAAAUACUCCUGACUGACCGAUAGUGAACCAGUACCGUGAGGGAAAGGCGAAAAGAACCCCGGCGAGGGGAGUGAAAAAGAACCUGAAACCGUGUACGUACAAGCAGUGGGAGCACAGGUUUACCUGUGUGACUGCGUACCUUUUGUAUAAUGGGUCAGCGACUUAUAUUCUGUAGCAAGGUUAACCGUAUAGGGGAGCCGUAGGGAAACCGAGUCUUAACCGGGCGUUAAGUUGCAGGGUAUAGACCCGAAACCCGGUGAUCUAGCCAUGGGCAGGUUGAAGGUUGGGUAACACUAACUGGAGGACCGAACCGACUAAUGUUGAAAAAUUAGCGGAUGACCUGUGGCUGGGGGUGAAAGGCCAAUCAAACCGGGAGAUAGCUGGUUCUCCCCGAAAGCUAUUUAGGUAGCGCCUCGUGAAUUCAUCUCCGGGGGUAGAGCACUGUUUCGGCUAGGGGGCCAUCCCGGCUUACCAACCCGAUGCAAACUGCGAAUACCGGAGAAUGUUAUCACGGGAGACACACGGCGGGUGCUAACCGCCGUCGUGAAGAAGGGAACAACCCCAGACGCCAGCUAAGGGCCCAAAGUCAUGGGUAAGGGGGGAACGAUGUGGGAAGGCACAGACAGCCAGGAUGUUGGCUUAGGAGCAGCCAACAUUUAAAGAAAGGGUAAUAGCCCACUGGUCGGUUCGGGCUUCGCGGGAGAUGUAACGGGGCUAAACCAUGCACCGAAGCUGCGGCAGCGACGUUUAUGCGUUGUUGGGUAGGGGAGCGUUCUGUAAGCCUGCGAAGGUGGCCUGUGAGGGUUGCUGGAGGUAUCAGAAGUGCGAAUGCUGACAUAAGUAACGAUAAAGCGGGUGAAAAGCCCGCUCGCCGGAAGACCAAGGGUUCCUGUCCAACGUUAAUCGGGGCAGGGUGAGUCGACCCCUAAGGCGAGGCCGAAAGGCGUAGUCGAUGGGAAACGGGUUAAUAUUCCCGUACUUGGUGUUACUGCGAAGGGGGGACGGAGAAGGCUAUGUUGGCCGGGCGACGGUUGUCCCGGUUUAAGCGUGUAGGCUGGUUUUCCAGGCAAAUCCGGAAAAUCAAGGCUGAGGCGUGACGACGAGGCACUACGGUGCUGAAGCAACAAAUGCCCUGCUUCCAGGAAAAGCCUCUAAGCAUCAGGUAACAUCAAAUCGUACCCCAAACCGACACAGGUGGUCAGGUAGAGAAUACCAAGGCGCUUGAGAGAACUCGGGUGAAGGAACUAGGCAAAAUGGUGCCGUAACUUCGGGAGAAGGCACGCUGACACGUAGGUGAAGUGAUUUACUCAUGGAGCUGAAGUCAGUCGAAGAUACCAGCUGGCUGCAACUGUUUAUUAAAAACACAGCACUGUGCAAACACGAAAGUGGACGUAUACGGUGUGACGCCUGCCCGGUGCCGGAAGGUUAAUUGAUGGGGUCAGCGCAAGCGAAGCUCCUGAUCGAAGCCCCGGUAAACGGCGGCCGUAACUAUAACGGUCCUAAGGUAGCGAAAUUCCUUGUCGGGUAAGUUCCGACCUGCACGAAUGGCGUAAUGAUGGCCAGGCUGUCUCCACCCGAGACUCAGUGAAAUUGAACUCGCUGUGAAGAUGCAGUGUACCCGCGGCAAGACGGAAAGACCCCGUGAACCUUUACUAUAGCUUGACACUGAACAUUGAGCCUUGAUGUGUAGGAUAGGUGGGAGGCUUUGAAGCGUGGACGCCAGUCUGCGUGGAGCCGACCUUGAAAUACCACCCUUUAAUGUUUGAUGUUCUAACGUGGACCCGUAAUCCGGGUUGCGGACAGUGUCUGGUGGGUAGUUUGACUGGGGCGGUCUCCUCCUAAAGAGUAACGGAGGAGCACGAAGGUUGGCUAAUCCUGGUCGGACAUCAGGAGGUUAGUGCAAUGGCAUAAGCCAGCUUGACUGCGAGCGUGACGGCGCGAGCAGGUGCGAAAGCAGGUCAUAGUGAUCCGGUGGUUCUGAAUGGAAGGGCCAUCGCUCAACGGAUAAAAGGUACUCCGGGGAUAACAGGCUGAUACCGCCCAAGAGUUCAUAUCGACGGCGGUGUUUGGCACCUCGAUGUCGGCUCAUCACAUCCUGGGGCUGAAGUAGGUCCCAAGGGUAUGGCUGUUCGCCAUUUAAAGUGGUACGCGAGCUGGGUUUAGAACGUCGUGAGACAGUUCGGUCCCUAUCUGCCGUGGGCGCUGGAGAACUGAGGGGGGCUGCUCCUAGUACGAGAGGACCGGAGUGGACGCAUCACUGGUGUUCGGGUUGUCAUGCCAAUGGCACUGCCCGGUAGCUAAAUGCGGAAGAGAUAAGUGCUGAAAGCAUCUAAGCACGAAACUUGCCCCGAGAUGAGUUCUCCCUGAGACUUAGAGUCUCCUGAAGGAACGUUGAAGACGACGACGUUGAUAGGCCGGGUGUGUAAGCGCAGCGAUGCGUUGAGCUAACCGGUACUAAUGAACCGUGAGGCUUAACCUUACAACGCCGAAG
rnacentral:rRNA from 1 species